AUGCGCCUGCCCUUUGUGCUCCAGCGGGAUGUGCCCGGCUCCAGGAUCCGCUGGCAUUCUCGGCUCGGAUGGUGCUGGAUGCUCCCAGCGCUGCCGUGGGGCUCGCAGGACCCUGUUCCCCGCAAAACCAUGGAAGAAAGGUGGAAAAAUGGGAAAAGCCAGGAGGAUUUGGGCCAGCUCACCCACACACUUCAUCCCUGCUGCUUCCAGAGGGUGGAUUUAUUGUGGGAUUCCCAAUCCGGCCCACCCAGCACCGGAAUGUGCUGCCGAGGGAGCACGAGGAUGUUCCGGGUGGUCCUUUUGUGUCAGGGCAAGGAUGUGUCCCUGUCCUGCCAGCGCCUCUGGAUCCUGCCUGUGGAGAGAGCCGGGAGAUGGGAAUGUGGCCAGAGGAGGGGAUUUUUGGGAAGAGACUUUUGGAGAAGAGCGAGUUGGAGCUGGGAGCUGGCUCAGGGCAGAGGGCUCGGGGCGAGCACGGCUGGAGCUGAGCUGGGAGAGGAUGGAAUGUGGUGGAACUCUGGAAUAGUCCCCUUGGCCGGUGGGGCUCUGGAAUGGCUCUCCAAGCCCAUCGGAGCUCUGGAAUGCCUCUCCAUGACCAUGGAGCUGUGGGAUAGCUCUCCAUGCCUGGUGGAGCUCUGGAAUGGCUUCCCAUGCCCAGUGGAGCUGUGGGAAGUCUCUCCAUGCCCGAUGGAAUUCUGGAAUGGCUCUCCAUGCCCGAUGGAAUUCUGGAAUAGCUCUCCAUGCCCAGUGGAGCUGAGGGAUCAAUCCCCAUAUCUGGUGGAGCUGUGGAAUGGCUUUCCACACCCAGCGGAGCUCUCGAAUGGAUCUCCAUGCCCCUGGAACCCUGGAAUGGCUCUCCAUGCCCAUGGAUCUGUGGGAUGUUUCUCCAUGCCUGGUGGAGCUCUGGAAUGGCUCCAACGCCCUGGAGCAGUUUCCCUGCGGCCACGGCUGCAGCAGGAUCAGGUUUUCCCAGCUGGAUGCCUCAGGAUGGGAUUUCCCAGCGUGUGA
rnacentral:lncRNA from 13 species